CCUACGGGAGGCAGCAGUGGGGAAUCUUGCGCAAUGGGCGAAAGCCUGACGCAGCCAUGCCGCGUGAAUGAUGAAGGUCUUAGGAUUGUAAAAUUCUUUCACCGGGGACGAUAAUGACGGUACCCGGAGAAGAAGCCCCGGCUAACUUCGUGCCAGCAGCCGCGGUAAUACGAAGGGGGCUAGCGUUGCUCGGAAUUACUGGGCGUAAAGGGAGCGUAGGCGGAUAGUUUAGUCAGAGGUGAAAGCCCAGGGCUCAACCUUGGAAUUGCCUUUGAUACUGGCUAUCUUGAGUAUGGGAGAGGUUAGCGGAACUCCGAGUGUAGAGGUGAAAUUCGUAGAUAUUCGGAAGAACACCAGUGGCGAAGGCGGCUAACUGGCCCAUUACUGACGCUGAGGCUCGAAAGCGUGGGGAGCAAACAGGAUUAGAUACCCUGGUAGUCCACGCCGUAAACGAUGAGUGCUAGUUGUCGGCAUGCAUGCAUGUCGGUGACGCAGCUAACGCAUUAAGCACUCCGCCUGGGGGAGGUACGGUCGCGAGAUAAACUACAANAGAGUAGACGCGNGAGACGNGCCGACGACGACGACGAGGGAGAGG
rnacentral:rRNA from 1 species